UACGUAGGGUGCAAGCGUUGUCCGGAAUUAUUGGGCGUAAAGGGCUCGUAGGCGGUUUGUCGCGUCGGGAGUGAAAACUCAGGGCUUAACCCUGAGCCUGCUUCCGAUACGGGCAGACUAGAGGUAUGCAGGGGAGAAUGGAAUUCCUGGUGUAGCGGUGAAAUGCGAAGAUAUCAGGAGGAACACCGGUGGCGAAGGCGGUUCUCUGGGCAUUACCUGACGCUGAGGAGCGAAAGUGUGGGGAGCGAACAGG
rnacentral:rRNA from 1 species